rnacentral:tRNA from 1 species
AUUUGUAUAGUUUAAAAAAAACAUUACAUUUUCAUUGUAAAAUUAAACCUUGUUUUACAAAUA